AUCCUAUGAUGAGGGCACUUCCUUAAUAGCUCUUUGAAUCUCUCCCAUGCAUCAUACAAUGAUUCCCUCUCCAUCUGACAAAAAUUAUUAAUUUCUCCUUUUAGCUU